rnacentral:rRNA from 1 species
GACGAACGCUGGCGGCAGGCCUAACACAUGCACGUUGAAAGAGUGGCGGACGGGUGAGUAAUGUCUGGGCAACUGCCGGAGGGAGGGGGCUAACUAAUGGAAACGGUAGCUAAUACCGCAUACAAUCGGAUGUGCCCAGAUGGGAUUAGCGAGUAGGUGGGGAAAAGGCUCACCUAGGCGCCGAUCCCUAGCUGGUAUGAGAGGAUGACCAGCCACACUGGAACUGCGACACGUUCCAGACUCCUACGUGAGGCAGCAGUGGGGACUAUUGCACAAUGGGCUCAAGCCUGAUGCAGCCAUGCCGCGUGUAUGACGAAGGUCUUCGGGUUGUAAAGUACUUUCCGCGGGGAGGCGUUACCCGCAGAAGAAGCACCGGCUAACUCCGUGCCAGCAGCCGCGGUAAUAC